UACAGGGGGGGCAAGCGUUGUUCGGAAUUACUGGGCGUAAAGGGCUCGUAGGCGGCCAACUAAGUCACACGUGAAAUCCCCAGGCUUAACCUGGGAACUGCGUGUGAUACUGGAUGGCUUGAAUCCGGGAGAGGGAUGCGGAAUUCCAGGUGUAGCGGUGAAAUGCGUAGAUAUCUGGAGGAACACCGGUGGCGAAGGCGGCAUCCUGGACCGGUAUUGACGCUGAUGAGCGAAAGCCAGGGGAGCAAACGGG
rnacentral:rRNA from 1 species